GUUUUGCUCCUAUCACAGCACAAAUCCACAAGAAUGACCUGCCAAAUAUUUUCACUCUUCACACAACACUGUACUACCAAGUAGUAUUACUGCAGGCUCCACAAGCAUAAAACACCAAUACAAGUUCAGUUUUGAUGAAAUCAUGGAGGGUACAAUACAAGUAAUAAAAUAGUUAAAACGUCAACCAAGAGAGCCAGCUACAGCAAAGUGAAGACUUCUUUCAAAACUGAUACUUAAGAAAUAUAAAAUACUCUUCCAAACGAGGAGCAAAACAGAUGGCAUAAUCGGAAAAGGCCGCCCAGUUCUUCCAUCAAAACUUCAGAGCAACAAAUUUCAUAUUUUGUUGAAAGCAACAAUGUCACAACUCUGAACGUACUCGUUGAUAGGUUCAACAGUAAGAUGAUUCUCAAUGAGAUCAUCCACGGAGACCAAAUCAUCCACAAUGGUAAGCAUAAUUUGCAGCUUCUUAAUACCAUAUCCAACAGGAACAAGUUUAGAUGCUCCAUAAGUCAAUCCUUCCAUAUGAACACUACGAACAGCUUCUUCAAGUUUUUUCAUAUCGGUCUCAUCAUCCCAUGGCUUGACAUCCAUGAGAACAGAGGACUUGCCAGAUUCUUUCUUCUUCCCUGAAGCCUUCAACGCUGCAGCACGUUCUUCAGCAGCCUUCUUUUCCUCCUCAGUUUCCUCACCAAAUAGGUCAACAUCAUCAUCGUCAUCUUCU
rnacentral:misc_RNA from 1 species